rnacentral:rRNA from 1 species
CCUACGGGAGGCAGCAGUGGGGAAUAUUGCACAAUGGGGGAAACCCUGAUGCAGCGACGCCGCGUGAGUGAGGAAGUAUUUCGGUAUGUAAAGCUCUAUCAGCAGGGAAGAAAAUGAUGAUACUUGACUAAGAAGCCCCGGCUAACUACGUGCUAGCAGCCGCGGUAAUAAGACGGGGGCAAGCGUUAUCCGGAUUGACUGCGUGUAAAGGGAGCGUAGUAGGCUGAUCAAGUCAGAAGUGAAAACGCAGGGCUCAACCUGGGGACUGCUUUUGAAACUGCUUAGCUAGAGUGCAGGAGAGGUAAGCGGAAUUCCUAGUGUAGCGGUGAAAUGCGUAGAUAUUAGGAAGAACACCAGUGGCGAAGGCGGCUUACUGGACUGUAACUGACGUUGAGGCUCGAAAGCGUGGGGAGCAAACAGGAUUAGAUACCCUGGUAGUC